CAGGUGCAGGAUAUCCAUUUAUCCUGAAAAGGGAAUCCGGUGAGACUCCGGAGCGAACUGGUCACUGUAUUCAGGGAGCGAACUUCUGGCAGCCAUUGCAUACCUGCGUAUGUGAGAAGGGGAAGCGAGCGAUGAUCUGUAAGUCAGGAAACCUGCCUGGUAUAU
rnacentral:ncRNA from 1 species